UACGAAGGGGGGCUAGCGUUGUUCGGAAUUACUGGGCGUAAAGGGCGCGUAGGCGGUGUGUCAAGUCAGGCGUGAAAGCCCCGGGCUCAACCUGGGAACCGCCGCUUGAGACUGGCACGCUCGAGUUCGGGAGAGGAUGGUGGAAUUCCCAGUGUAGAGGUGAAAUUCGUAGAUAUUGGGAAGAACACCGAUGGCGAAGGCAGCCAUCUGGACCGACACUGACGCUGAGGCGCGA
rnacentral:rRNA from 1 species